GCCUCUUCCAACGACAAAAUAACGACGUGUCGUUACCACAGCAAUUUGCCACGCGUCACAUUAGCAUCCUGCUUUCGGUUUUCCUUAUUUCAAUGGAGUUAUAUGUUUUGUCCCACUGUGGAUAUGUAUAUGUUUUGACUGUGUUCUGUUUCCUUCCCCGUUUUCUCCUUGCAAGAACCACAGAACUGCUUUAACCUUCCCCGUUUUCUCCCUGUUUGUCAGUAAAGUCAAGGAGCACGAAUUCGACAAAUUGUGGGAAUUGGAAACUUUUGAAAUUCAAAUUGAAUCACUUUUAUCUCUCUCUCCAUAUUUGUUUUCAAAUUCUGGAUCUGUCUCAAAAUUAUUUUCCUCUUCCUGCUCCGGAAACUCAUCUCACCUUCUUUCUCUGCUAACGGUGGCGCUAGAUCACCAACGACCGUGCAUACCUUCCUUGGACCGCCACCGCUCCCUCCCACGCCCAGCCGCCGCCUCUAGGCCCCCCCUCUCCCUCUCUCACUCCCAGCCGCUCUCUCGCUCUCUCUCUCUCUCCCUCAGCAGAUCUUCAACCGCGCCCAAAUCUCCAGAUCUCGCGCGUCCUCUCCCUCGAAGCCACACACAGCAACUUUCAAACCCCGGUGCUUCCGAAAAAUCCAUCGGGUAUUGGUAUUAAGGAAAGAUAUCACCUUGUGCUGAGACAGAAGCUUUCAGGGUUCUUUGUGAAUUUUUUUAGAGCUUUUGAUUUCUAUCUGGGGCCUGGAGUUUGGAGAGCUUGAUAGGUGAAGAUGCUAACAUAUGGAGAAUCCAGAAUUCACUUGAAGAGGGGCUUUUCCAUCGGAUCGAAAUGCACAGAUUGAAAGCAUUUUGACAGAGCAUUGCAGAUCGAUGAACUCUUACAUGUGAUAUGGACGGAUCUCUAGCCUUUUCAUGGAUCACGAACAUGGAACUUUGAGCUCCAUCAUAUAUGGUCGGUUCAUGCUUCCUAAAUCUGGGUUUUGUUGAAAUGAGGGCCUGAAGAUCUGUAUAUCUCAAGACUGAGAGAUCAAAGAUGAUAUGUCUAAAGGAGGAGAAAAAACCUGAAGAGAGGAAAGCACAUCCUCAACUCGCUCGACUCCAAAUUGAACGGUCUCUUGGUUGAAGCCUCUUCCGAAGAAAAUCCGGCCAGUCCACGGUUCAUUUUUUUUCACCAGAGACCUUCACACUCAAUUGUGCUUUUACGAUGAGACUAUUGUUCAAAUGAUCGAAAAGAAAGGGAGAUUGUGAAAGAUGAAUUCUAGCAAGGAAGUGGCUUACUGAUUUGGCUUAUGAUGGCUAAGAAUGAAGAAGAAGAAUUCAACACUAGACCACUAUCUGUUCUGAUGAUGAGUAUUAAAAAUGAUACUCAUGUAUGUUUUUUUAACAUUAGAUAGUAACAUGGAUUCUGAGGCAGCCCCUAGAAGGCAUUUUAUGUCUGAGGUUUUAACCAGACACUUUAACUUCAGUAGCAAGAAGCUUCUGGGUCGUGGCAUGGCUUUUCAUAGGCACCGCAACAUGGUUCAGGAUCAAAAUUUUAAAAAUAGUUUAUUCGAUGAAAACUAAAUAGUGAAGAAGCAAGAAUCAAAUAAUCAUCCAGCCAACUGCUGAACCUGAAAGUACAAUUUUUCGAAAUCAGAUUGGAAAUGUCCUUUGCAGUAUGCAGCUACUAUCCCAUUCUGAUAAAUGGCCUGUUUAACAAAUUGCUGCAAUUUCCUUGGCCACUUGGUUGAGAAGAGUAAGAAAGCCUUCCAAAAUCAUAUUCUAUAAUUCUUUGAAGAAUGAUAAAGACAUCGGUUCUUAUCUUAAUAUGGUUCUAAAAGAUUGCAAACACUUUGCUCAAUCCCUUCAUUGGUGUCAAUUAGUGCAUGUCAAGAGACAAUGCAAUACCACUGUUGUCUAAAAUUAUUUUUCAAUUUGUAGAUAAAGUUUGGUUAGAAGGAUGCCCUAUGGCGGAUGAUAUUCUUUUGAAUGAUGUACCUUUUAAUUUUGUUCAUGAUUGAAUAAAAUGUUAAAGCACAGAAAAGAAAAAGCGCUACGCUGUGCCAGCUUGGAUUUAAAUAA